CGUCACCGUGGCUAGUCCAACGCUGGUCAUGGUCUUUCCCCUUGAACUCUCGCAAGUCCAAUGCUUGUGAAAAAGCGUUAGUGAAGGGCUAGUCCAAUGCUAGACCCAUUAGGGCCGUCCCCGCGCUAGCACAUACUUGCAUGCCUUCAUUACAUCUUCAUUCAUUCUUUCCUUUUAGUUUUACAUUUUGCAUGACCCUUCACUCCCUUUCCCUUGCAUAUUUAGGAUUACAUUUUCAUUUAGAUUAGCUCAUUUGCUUGUAUAGGUUAGGGAGUCACUCUUUUGGUAAGGGGGAUGGACGAGUUUGGCUAUACAUAGCCUU
rnacentral:lncRNA from 1 species